ACCGCAUACGUCCUACGGGAGAAAGCAGGGGACCUUCGGGCCUUGCGCUAUCAGAUGAGCCUAGGUCGGAUUAGCUAGUAGGUGAGGUAAAGGCUCACCUAGGCGACGAUCCGUAACUGGUCUGAGAGGAUGAUCAGUCACACUGGAACUGAGACACGGUCCAGACUCCUACGGGAGGCAGCAGUGGGGAAUAUUGGACAAUGGGCGAAAGCCUGAUCCAGCCAUGCCGCGUGUGUGAAGAAGGUCUUCGGAUUGUA
rnacentral:rRNA from 1 species